rnacentral:rRNA from 1 species
UACAGAGGUCUCAAGCGUUGUUCGGAUUCAUUGGGCGUAAAGGGUGCGUAGGUGGCGCCGUAAGUCAGGUGUGAAAUUUCGGAGCUUAACUCCGAAAACUGCAUUUGAUACUGCGGUGCUUGAGGACUGGAGAGGAGACUGGAAUUUACGGUGUAGCAGUGAAAUGCGUAGAGAUCGUAAGGAAGACCAGUGGCGAAGGCGGGUCUCUGGACAGUUCCCGACACUGAGGCACGAAGGCCAGGGGAGCAAACGGG